rnacentral:rRNA from 1 species
AUUGAACGCUGGCGGCAUGCCUUACACAUGCAAGUCGAACGGCAGCGGGCCUUCGGGUGCCGGCGAGUGGCGAACGGGUGAGUAAUGCAUCGGAACGUGCCAUUGAGUGGGGGAGUAACGUAGCGAAAGUUGCGCUAAUACCGCAUAUUCUGUGAGCAGGAAAGCAGGGACCGCAAGGCCUUGCGCUCUUUGAGCGGCCGAUGUCAGAUUAGCUAGUUGGUGAGGUAAAGGCUUACCAAGGCGACGAUCUGUAGCGGGUCUGAGAGGAUGAUCCGCCACACUGGAACUGAGACACGGUCCAGACUCCUACGGGAGGCAGCAGUGGGGAAUUUUGGACAAAUGGGGGCGAACCCCUGAUCCAGCCAUGCCGCGUGAGUGAAGAAGGCCUUCGGUU